AUUGAACGCUGGCGGCAGGCCUAACACAUGCAAGUCGAACGAGUGGCGGACGGGUGAGUAAUGUCUGGGAAACUGCCUGAUGGAGGGGGAUAACUACUGGAAACGGUAGCUAAUACCGCAUACCAUCGGAUGUGCCCAGAUGGGAUUAGCUAGUAGGUGGGGUAAAGGCUCACCUAGGCGACGAUCCCUAGCUGGUCUGAGAGGAUGACCAGGAACACUGGAAAUGAGACACGGGCCAGCCUCCUACGGGAGGCAGCAGGGGGGAAUAUGGCACAAUGGGGGCAAGCCUGAUGCAGCCAUGCCGCGUGUAUGAAGAAGGCCUUAGGGUUGUAAAGUACUUUCAGCGGGGAGGCGUUACCCGCAGAAGAAGCACCGGCUAACUCCGUGCCAGCAGCCGCGGUAAUUC
rnacentral:rRNA from 1 species